rnacentral:rRNA from 1 species
UACGAAGGGGGCUAGCGUUGCUCGGAAUCACUGGACGUAAAGCGCACGUAGGCGGAUCUUUAAGUCAGGGGUGAAAUCUCAAGGCUCAACCUUGGAACUGCCUUUGAUACUGGGGAUCUCGAGUCCGGAAGAGGUGAGUGGAACUGCGAGUGUAGAGGUGAAAUUCGUAGAUAUUCGCAAGAACACCAGUGGCGAAGGCGGCUCACUGGUCCGGUACUGACGCUGAGGUGCGAAAGCGUGGGGAGCAAACAGG